UGUAGAUCAAAGAAAUGUUCAUCAGAGAUGAAUAUGAUGCUUCGACUUUGAUUUUUGAUCAUCUAUAAAGAUCAAAGAAACGUACAUCGGAAAUGAAUAUGAUGCUUCGACUUUGAUUUUUGAUCAUCUAUAAAGGUACCAAAACGUACAUCGGAAAUGAAUAUGAUGCUUCGACUUUGAUUUUUGAUCAUCUAUAAAGAUCAAAGAAACGUACAUCGGAAAUGAAUAUGAUGCUUCGACUUUGAUUUUUGAUCAUCUAUAAAGAGGUUAACGCAGACAGACGCAUUUUGCCGGAAAACAAAUCUGACAUGCCACCUCGAGAUUUUAACCAAGGAAAGACAACUUGAUGUGCUUUGAUUUGAGGGGUCACUCAAUGCUGAACGAAAAUUAGGGACAUUGCUAUGUGAAUAAGCAUUAACAUUGCCACCUAUGGGAAAACAAUUAGUGGGCUGUACCCAAUAUGUGAAGCCUAUUGGUUCAUGGUGAUACAGGACAACUUCGAGGUUCAUGCAGAUGGUGUUUAAAACUAUCAGUCAGGAAAAACAAACUCAUUUGAACACAUCUUGAGUUUUCACAUGUAAAAUGAUGGCAGUACUUUUAAUAUAUCAAAGAAACGUACAUCGGAAAUGAAUAUGAUGCUUCGACUUUGAUUUUUGAUCAUCUAUAAAGAUUCAGUAUAUGAUAUACAUCAGAGAGAAGCAUGAUGCUUGAUUUUGACUGUCUAUUUGAAAGUUUGAUUUCGGCUUGGAUUACCAAAGAACCUGACCAAAAUAUGGGGACAUUUCAUGCGACCAGGAUAAGAUGCUGCUUGCAAUCGGCAUUGCUGUUCAUUCACAGACAAGAGCAUCAGGAGUUCAAGCUAAAACAAUCCGUAAUUGCCUCUAAAUACCGCAUGGGGAAGAACUAGUCACCAAAUUGUUGUUAUUUUUCGUAAAGCUGUGAAUAUUGACUUGAUUACUCAUUAUACAAUACAAAAUAAAGUUCUUAUUGUUCAGAAAAAAAUUAUCUUA